rnacentral:rRNA from 1 species
UAAGACGGAGGGUGCUAGCGUUGUUCGGAAUGACUGGGCGUAAAGGGCGCGUAGGCGGCUCAGGUAGUCGGGUGUGAAAGCCCGGGGCUCAACCCCGGAACGGCACCCGAGACUCUUGGGCUCGAGACCGGGAGAGGAGGGUGGAAUACCGAGUGUAGAGGUGAAAUUCGUAGAUAUUCGGUGGAACACCAGUGGCGAAAGCGGCUCUCUGGCCCGGAUCUGACGCUGAGGCGCGAAAGCGUGGGGAGCAAACAGGAUUAGAUACCCUGGUAGUCCACGCCCUAAACGAUGCUGGCUAGAUGUUGGGGGGCUUGCCCCUCGGUGUCGGAGCUAACGUGUUAAGCCAGCCGCCUGGGAAGUACGGCCGCAAGGUUA